rnacentral:rRNA from 1 species
GAGAUUUCACUUGGUCUUGUUAGUCUUGAUAGGUCUUGUGGGGCCUUAGCUCAUCUGGGAUACGCCUGCUUUCACGCAGGAGGUCAGCGGUUCGAUCCCGCUAGGCUCCAUUGGUGAUAGAUCACCAAGUAAUGCACAUUGAAAAUUUAAUAUCUAUAUCAAAUAUUAACAACUAUAUUUUUUUGGUUCGCGGUAGUAUUGGACAGAUUCUUUGAAAAGUAACAGGAGAACGCCAACUCCUUAUUCAUUGUUCUAUGUGAACAAGUUACUUCAUAAAUCCCCUUGACAUAUUUCACCAUCUCUCAGCUUUUUUCCUUUCAAUCUAUAAAUGUUAAAUUUACU